UACGGAGGGGGCAAGCGUUGUUCGGAAUUACUGGGCGUAAAGGACGCAUAGGCGGAACAUUAAGUUAGGGGUGAAAGACCUGGGCUCAACCUGGGAACGGCCUCUAAGACUGAUGAUCUGGAGUCCGGAAGAGGAUGGCGGAAUUCCCAGUGUAGAGGUGAAAUUCGUAGAUAUUGAGAAGAACACCGGUGGCGAAAGCGGCCAUCUGGUCCGGCACUGACGCUGAGACGCGAAAGCGUGGGGAGCAAACAGG
rnacentral:misc_RNA from 1 species